CCUACGUGUGGCAGCAGUGGGGAAUAUUGCACAAUGGGGGAAACUCUGAUGCAGCGACGCCGCGUGAGUGAUGAAGUAUUUCGGUACGGAAAGCUCUAUUAACAUGGAAGUAAAUUACUGUACUUGACUGAGAUGGUCUGGCUAACUACGUUCCAGCAGACGUGGUAAUACGCCGGGGGCCAGCGUUAUACGGAUUUUCUGGGUGUAAAGGGGACGUAGGCGGAUGCGCAAGUCAGGAGUGAAAUCCGUGGGCUUAACCGUGGAAGUGCAUUGGAAACCGUGCAGCUUGAGUACAGGAGAGGUAAGCGGAAUUCGUGGUGUAGCGGUGAAAUGCUUAGAUAUUAGGAAGAACUCCAGUUGCGAAGGCAGCUUACUGGACUGUAACUGACGCUGAGGCUCGAAAGCGUGGGGAGCAAACAGGAUUAGAUACCCGAGUAGUC
rnacentral:rRNA from 1 species